AGUAAAUAUGUUCAAACUGUUGGAAAUCUGCUAUGCUAUGCUGGAGAAAUCGUUCAGCAGAAUAGACGCCUACAAAGUGCUCGACAGAACGACUGAAAGAGUUAAAAGAAAGGGCUGCAGAAAUCUUCACACCAACUGUUUGGGAAAAUGCCUUCAAUAGAAAAAGGACUGCAAAAGUGGAGAAGCUGAACCGUUGAGAAUACCCAUUUCUAAUGCUGCAAACUUCAAUUCAAAUACACUAAUGAUCAAACAUCAUUAAUUUAUUCCAUGCAUGUUAAUUAGCUCUCCUAACAACGAAGAUUAGGUCCGGGAUUAACUCCGAAUUGGUUACAAUAACUCGUAUAAUAAUUAACACGAGCAGUCACGGCGGCCGGGAUCCCUCCGUCGCAUUCCCCGCCAUGAAUAGCCCUAAUCGUGGCCCCAAAACCCCGCCCCGAUGUAAUAGCUGUGUGCACCCUAUUCAUCCAGAACCACAGCGCGGCCUUGAAUGAGAUGGCGGGGUCCCGGGCCACGAUAUCGGGGUUGUUCAAUCCAUCAAAAUUUAGGGCUUGGCCCGCCGGGCCGUAGUUGUAGUUCCACGUCAGCUGUAGCGGGCCUCUGCCGUAGUACCUCUGGCCCGGCGUGCACGGCCACUGUUUGUUGCUAUUGCAAUAGAUCGCCUUGUUUAUCUCUCGUGUGUAGCACAUGUCUGCAUGGGAAAGAAAAUUAUCAGAUCGUCUGAUGGGUCAAGAUUCGUCACAUAUAUUCAUUAAUAAUAUUAAUCUUUGGUUUAUGGUUGUGUUCGGAUAUAGACAUUGAAUUAAUUUAUGGAUUCUGACUCGUCAUACCGUCUGACAUGAUAUUAUUUCCCUAGUUCAAUAUUGAUUUCAACUCAUAUAAGUUGUGAGACAGAGAAUCUCAUCGAAUUAUCAAUAUUUUGUGUGAAGCAUUGUACAAUAGCGCUUCUAAAACCUAAUAAAAAAUUUGUCUUUCGAAAUCUCAAACUCAAUACAUGUGUGCAAGAUGAUUAAUGCCCAAGGUCUGAAGUGCUGAAUUUGAUUCCACCGUGGCACGAUUUUUAAUUUAUUUAUUUAGUUGUGUAAUUUAUCAAAAAAAAAUUGUUUUGAAAAAAAAAUAGAAAAAGAUAGCUCCUAAGUGAGAGUAACAAAGUUAACAAUUAAAAAGAAAUGUGAUUAUAUAUAAAAUUAUAAUCUUUUAAAAAGUAAAAUAAAAAUAAAUAAAUAAGAAAACUUAGUCCAAUCUAAUGUGUGACAUGCGCGAAGAACGCCAUCACCUCACGCUCUGAUUCGUCGGUGGACACGAGUUUCGAGAAAAUUUAAUUAUAUCUUUGGUGAAUGCAAAAAGGGUUUAUAAUUUAGAAAAAAAUAGUGAGUGAAUUUAUGUGAGUCCAUUAGUGAUAAUGCGUGUAAAUAUAUGGUAAUUUUAAUUGUAAUAAUUAGUAACAAUAUGUUCGAAAAUAGAGUAGGAAGAUAUUUUAUGGAGGAAUCAAAAAAGAAAAUUAGGAAAAUAUUUCGUGGACUUACGCCCGGUCUCGUGCGUGACAUGAGCGAAGAACGCUGCGAUCUCACGCUUCGAGUAGUCGGCGGACCCCACCGUGCCGAAGUUGGGGUACAGCUGAAUCGCUUGUAGGAAGGCGGCGCGUGUGUAGAAUCCCUUCCCGGCGCAGCCCCGCCCCGCCUGAUUAGCAAUGCCGUUGAAGAAACUAUCUGUCACCACGCCGCUGACAUUGCCUCCGUUGUUUUGGCCGGAGACGUAUUUUCCGGUGGCUAGGAGGAGAGCGAGAAGGGCGUAGAUAGUGAGGGAAUGGUUCAUUUUGGAGAUAGCUAAGAGUAGUGAGAAAAUAUUGUGUUGGUGUUGAGAAAUAAUGUGGGGAUUUAUGGGUAUUUAAAGAGUGAAAUAAAUAUAUACUCCAUUAUUUUAUUUUAUCUUUAGAAGGAUAAUGGGAAGAGGAAGAUUGGAAGUUUGUUACAAAUGGAUUAAUUAGUAUAUUAUUGACUUUUGGAAUGCCUUAUAGUAUAUGAUACUAUUUGAUUUUAUUGUGGUGGAAAUUUGUGUUGGAUUUUCCAAAGUGGAGUAGGUAAACUUGACUUACUAUUAAGAGUCAACUCAUAAUAUUUACACCAUAACUAGUUACUUGUAAUCUAAUUAUAUGCUAAAGGAUAUUGUUCACUACAAAUUAUACUUAUAAGUUCAAAUGAGAAGGUAUAUAAUGUACUAUAAAUUAAAAAUUAUUUCAGUACUGAAAAUGUGAAGAUUUACUGUGAAUUCAUCACUUUGCUGAACGAACUCAUAAUUCAUGGUUCAUACUGAAUUUAAAUCUUAAAGGUGUUGAAAAUUUAUUUUCUUUUAAUUCAUUACUUUUCAUUUUCACAAUGAAUUCAUAAUAAUUCAUAUAUGAGAUGUUUGAUUUGAGCGAUAAGCAUGACUGAUAAACAAGCCCAACUUAACUAAACAUUUGGUUUGUAUGAUUCGACUCGUAAUAUAAUUUGGCCCGUAAUUUAAUCAUAUAAUAAAAUGAUCAUUUAUCACUUUAAAAUUGAGUUGAUUAUAUAUAACUAUAUCCGACAUUAUAAACAAUGAGACCAAAUAUAUAAAGACUCCAAAAUAAAAUAAAAAACCACGAAAGUGUUUAAUAAAAAUGAAUAAAAUAAGAAUAUGAAAACCAACAUACUAGUGAGUCACAUGAUUCUCUAGAGUCUUUGGUCAAUUCUAUAUCUCAAUACAUUAAAAAUAAUAAAUAUUAUAGUCCAAACUUAGGGGUGUAUUAGUUCAAGAUUUAUGUAGAUUUUAAAAAUCCGUGGAUUUUAAAAGUCUAUAGAAUUCUCACGGAUUCUUCAUGAUUUUGAAUGAAUUCUUGGUCGGAUUUUUAAUGAAUUAGCAAGAAUUUGACGUGAUAUUUUCGGACUUGAAAUCCACAAACCCAAUGAGCGCGGGAAUUGAACGAGCGCUAGACCUACUUUCAGCGGCCGCUAGGGGCCCAUGAGCGCUGGAUACCUAGCGAGCGCUGGGUUCCAACGAGCGCUCAAACCAUAUAUCACAUCAUUGGAUUUGGUUGGUGCCUAAAAUUUUACCGGUGGUGCACAUAUAUUCCCAACUUUCACACUGUUAUAUAUAUUAUCAUAUAGUAUUUCAAACAUGCAUAUGCGCCUCCCAAUAACUGGAUUUAUGAUUAUUAUUUUGACUACACUGGUUCUAUUUCUAUGUAAUCGGCGCUAUUUAAUUUUAGUGGGUAACUAUUAUUCGCAUGCAUUUCCAUUAUUAUAUAUAUAUCUCUAUCCACUAAGCAAUUUAAUUUCCUAAUGGAUAAUAUGGUGAUGGGAGCUUCCCGAAGAAAAUCAUGGCACCACGAGCGCUGAAGAAACUUGACCUCUGGAAUCAUUGGCAACGGCCGCUGGCUUCUUGGCCGCGGGCGCUGGCACCCAGCGAGAGCGGGGAUUUUGCAGGAUUUGUGAAUUCUCGUGGUCUGUGUUCGGAUUUGUUCAUGCUUGUUUUUUCAACGAAAUUAAUGAAAGUCAUUUCAAUUUUAAAGUCCAUAAAUUAUCGAAUACAUCCAGAUUUUUAUAGACUUUUAAAAGUCUUGAACGACCUAAAUUUUCAUAGACUUUUAAAAGUAUUGAACGAAUACACCUAGAUUUUCAUAGACUUUUAAAAGUCUUGAACUAAUACACCUAACCUUUAAAAGUCUGCAGAAAUCUAUUAAAGUCUUAAACUAAUACACCCCCCUUAAUUGGUUCACGUGAUCAUGGUCCCCAUAUGUAAUACCGACCUAAUUUUCCACAUUCUCUUUCUUCUUCUUUUUUUUUUUUCUUUUUUUCUUCUAGUAACAUUUUUGUAUUCUCAUCCCUUCUUGUUUAUACCACAUAUAACAAAUACUCCCUCCGUCCCACUGUAAGUGAGACCUUUUUUUUGGGCACGAGAAUUAAGAAAGGUGUAUUUUGUGUGUAAGUGAAAAAAGUGAAAAUGUGUUUAAAGGGAAAAACUUUUACCUAAAAAGGAAAGAGUCUCACUUACAAUGGGACGCCCAAAAUAGAAAGAGUCUCAGAUACAGUGGGACGGAGGGAGUAUCUCAUUGAUUUAAUCUAUUUCAAUUUUUUUUAAAAGAUAUUUCCUAAAUAUAACCUACCCCAAUUAACAUUAGCUAAGACUUCAAGUUAAAUAUUAAAAAAGAGGGGGAAAAGGCCUUAAAAUACACAAAGUUUGGACGAAUUCUGAUUUUACACACAACUUUUGAAAUUUGAAAAAAAAAUACAACAAAUUUUAAUUUUUUUUUAUUUUUUCCUAAAUUUAAAAAUACCCUAAAAUUAGAAACAUAAAAGUUGCUACUACAACCCAACACAGCAAGCUCAUAACCCGUACAUAUAAUGUAUUUAAUGAGCAUCGCAAUUCAACAUGAAAAUAAAGCUUUCUCUCGCAAUCAAACAUUAACUCACAAGAAAAUGAAAAUAAAUUGUAGCUGUUUAAAAUUUAAUGUAUUUCAUUUCAAAUUUCAAAGGUUGUGAGCAUAUUAAAAUUUUAUUUUUAUUUUUUCGUGGAUUAAUGUUUGAUUGCGAGAGAAAACUUUAAUCAAUAUUUUGAAUAUAAAUAUAAAUAUAAAUAUAAAUUUAAAUAUAAAUUUAAAUAUAAAUUUAUAUUCGGUAAACAAAAUUCGGGAUUCGAUGCGAUACUAAACAAAUCAAACUUGAGCACACCACUAUUCAAUUCGGCUCGAUCGGUUCGAUUAUACGCCUAUGUAUAAUGUAUUCCCGGAAAAUGAAACCUUUAACAAAAAGUACAAAGAUGUAAAAUAAUACUGUGAAAAGCGCAUUUUCAACUCUCUAUAAUGCUUUAGACAUCGUAUGUCAUGCAACGAUUUUACGAUGCAAUUUUUUCAAGAAUUCUUGAAAUUCACUGUAUCCAGCUUGGAUCCAUAACAUUUUUCAGACCUUUUUAGUUAUAUAUACAUUUUUAACUGACAAUCUUUGUAUCAAGUAAAUAUGUUCAAACUGUUGGAAAUCUGCUAUGCUAUGCUGGAGAAAUCGUUCAGCAAAAUAGACGCCUACAAAGUGCUCGACAGAACGACUGAAAGAGUUAAAAGAAAGGGCUGCAGAAAUCUUCACACCAACUGUUUGGGAAAAUGCCUUGAAUAGAAAAAGGACUGCAAAAGUGGAGAAGCUGAACCAUUGAGAAUACUCAUUUCUAAUACGGCAAACUUCAAUUCAAAUACACUAAUGAUCAAACAUCAUUAAUUUAUUCCAUGCAUGUUAAUUAGCUCUCUUAACAACGAAGAUUAGGUCCAGGAUUAACUCCGAAUUGGUUACAAUAACUCGUAUAAUAAUUAACACGAGCAGUCACGGCGGCCGGCUUCCCUCCAUUGCAUUCUCCGCCGUUAAUAGCCCUAAUCGUGGCCCCAAAACCCCGCCCCGAUGUAAUAGCCGUGUGCACGCUAUUCAUCCAGAACCACAGCGCGGCCUUGAAUGAGAUGGCGGAGUCCCGGGCCACGAUAUCGGGGUUGUUCAAUCCAUCAAAAUUUAGGGCUUGGCCCGCCGGGCCGUAGUUGUAGUUCCACGUCAGCUGUAGCGGGCCUCUGCCGUAGUAGCUCUGGCCCGGC
rnacentral:lncRNA from 1 species